CGUGUCGUGAGAUGUUGGGUUAAGUCCCGCAACGAGCGCAACCCUUAUGACUAGUUGCCAGCAUUAAGUUGGGCACUCUAGUAAGACUGCCGGUGACAAACCGGAGGAAGGUGGGGACGACGUCAAAUCAUCAUGCCCCUUAUGACCUGGGCUACACACGUGCUACAAUGGAUGGUACAACGAGUUGCGAACCCGCGAGGGCAAGCUAAUCUCUUAAAGCCAUUCUCAGUCCGGACUGUAGGCUGCAACUCGCCUACACGAAGUCGGAAUCGCUAGUAAUCGCGGAUCAGCAUGCCGCGGUGAAUACGUUCCCGGGCCUUGUACACACCGCCCGUCACACCAUGAGAGUUUGUAACACCCGAAGCCGGUGGGGUAACCUUUUAGGAGCUAGCCGUCUAAGGUGGGACAGAUGAUUAGGGU
rnacentral:rRNA from 1 species